rnacentral:tRNA from 1 species
GGAUUCGUGCCUGAAUAUUAAAGGAUUACUUUGAUAGAGUGAAUCAUGGGGGUUAAACCCCCCCCGACUCCU